rnacentral:rRNA from 1 species
CCUACGGGUGGCAGCAGUGGGGAAUAUUGGACAAUGGGGGCAACCCUGAUCCAGCCAUGCCGCGUGUGUGAAGAAGGCCCUCGGGUUGUAAAGCACUUUCAGUGAGGAAGAACGCCUGGUGGUUAAUACCCAUCAGGAAAGACAUCACUCACAGAAGAAGCACCGGCUAACUCCGUGCCAGCAGCCGCGGUAAUACGGAGGGUGCGAGCGUUAAUUGGAAUUACUGGGCGUAAAGCGCGCGUAGGUGGCUUGAUAAGCCGGUUGUGAAAGCCCCGGGCUCAACCUGGGAACGGCAUCCGGAACUGUCAAGCUAGAGUGCAGGAGAGGAAGGUAGAAUUCCCGGUGUAGCGGUGAAAUGCGUAGAGAUCGGGAGGAAUACCAGUGGCGAAGGCGGCCUUCUGGACUGACACUGACACUGAGGUGCGAAAGCGUGGGUAGCAAACAGGAUUAGAUACCCGGGUAGUC